rnacentral:rRNA from 1 species
GACGAACGCUGGCGGCGUGCUUAACACAUGCAAGUCGAACGCUGAAGCUCAGCUUUUGUUGGGUGGAUGAGUGGCGAACGGGUGAGUAACACGUGAGUAACCUGCCCCCUUCUUUGGGAUAACGCCCGGAAACGGGUGCUAAUACUGGAUAUUCACUGGUCUUCGCAUGGGGGUUGGUGGAAAGGGUUUUUCUGGUGGGGGAUGGGCUCGCGGCCUAUCAGCUUGUUGGUGGGGUGAUGGCCUACCAAGGCUUUGACGGGUAGCCGGCCUGAGAGGGUGACCAGUCACAUUGGGACUGAGAUACGGCCCAGACUCCUACGGGAGGCAGCAGUGGGGAAUAUUGCACAAUGGGCGCAAGCCUGAUGCAGCGACGCCGCGUGAGGGAUGGAGGCCUUCGGGUUGUGAACCUCUUUCGCUCAUGGUCAAGCCGCAACAAUGGUUGUGGUGAGGGUAGUGGGUAAAGAAGCGCCGGCUAACUACGUG